rnacentral:rRNA from 1 species
GACGAACGCUGGCGGCGUGCUUAACACAUGCAAGUCGAACGGAAAGGCCCUGCUUUUGUGGGGUGCUCGAGUGGCGAACGGGUGAGUAACACGUGAGUAACCUGCCCUUGACUUUGGGAUAACUUCAGGAAACUGGGGCUAAUACCGGAUAGGAGCUCCUGCUGCAUGUUGUGUGUUGGAAAGUUUCGGCGGUUGGGGAUGGACUCGCGGCUUAUCAGCUUGUUGGUGGGGUAGUGGCUUACCAAGGCUUUGACGGGUAGCCGGCCUGAGAGGGUGACCGGCCACAUUGGGACUGAGAUACGGACCAGAGUCCUACGGGAGGCAGCAGUGGGGAAUAUUGCACAAUGGGCGGAAGCCUGAUGCAGCAACGCGGCGUGCGGGAUGACGGCCUUCGGGUUGUAAACAGCUUUCGCCUGUGACGAAGCGUGAGUGACGGUAAUGGGUAAAGAAGCACCGGCUAACUACGUG